GUUGGGUAGGGGAGCGUUCUGUAAGCCGUUGAAGGUGGCCUGUGAGGGUUGCUGGAGGUAUCAGAAGUGCGAAUGCUGACAUAAGUAACGAUAAAGCGGGUGAAAAGCCCGCUCGCCGGAAGACCAAGGGUUCCUGUCCAACGUUAAUCGGGGCAGGGUGAGUCGACCCCUAAGGCGAGGCCGAAAGGCGUAGUCGAUGGGAAACGGGUUAAUAUUCCCGUACUUGGUGUUACUGCGAAGGGGGGACGGAGAAGGCUAUGUUGGCCGGGCGACGGUUGUCCCGGUUUAAGCGUGUAGGUGUGUGUUCCAGGUAAAUCCGGUUCACUUUAACACUGAGGCGUGACGACGAGGCACUACGGUGCUGAAGCAACAAAUGCCCUGCUUCCAGGAAAAGCCUCUAAGCCUCAGGUAACAUCAAAUCGUACCCCAAACCGACACAGGUGGUCAGGUAGAGAAUACCAAGGCGCUUGAGAGAACUCGGGUGAAGGAACUAGGCAAAAUGGUGCCGUAACUUCGGGAGAAGGCACGCUGACACGUAGGUGAAGUGGUUUACCCAUGGAGCUGAAGUCAGUCGAAGAUACCAGCUGGCUGCAACUGUUUAUUAAAAACACAGCACUGUGCAAACACGAAAGUGGACGUAUACGGUGUGACGCCUGCCCGGUGCCGGAAGGUUAAUUGAUGGGGUCAGCGCAAGCGAAGCUCCUGAUCGAAGCCCCGGUAAACGGCGGCCGUAACUAUAACGGUCCUAAGGUAGCGAAAUUCCUUGUCGGGUAAGUUCCGACCUGCACGAAUGGCGUAAUGAUGGCCAGGCUGUCUCCACCCGGGACUCAGUGAAAUUGAACUCGCUGUGAAGAUGCAGUGUACCCGCGGCAAGACGGAAAGACCCCGUGAACCUUUACUAUAGCUUGACACUGAACACUGGUCCUUGAUGUGCAGGAUAGGUGGGAGGCUUUGAAGUGUGGACGCCAGUCUGCAUGGAGCCGACCUUGAAAUACCACCCUUUAAUGGCUGGUGUUCUAACGUGGACCCGUAAUCCGGGUUGCGGACAGUGUCUGGUGGGUAGUUUGACUGGGGCGGUCUCCUCCUAAAGAGUAACGGAGGAGCACGAAGGUUGGCUAAUCCUGGUCGGACAUCAGGAGGUUAGUGCAAUGGCAUAAGCCAGCUUGACUGCGAGCGUGACGGCGCGAGCAGGUGCGAAAGCAGGUCAUAGUGAUCCGGUGGUUCUGAAUGGAAGGGCCAUCGCUCAACGGAUAAAAGGUACUCCGGGGAUAACAGGCUGAUACCGCCCAAGAGUUCAUAUCGACGGCGGUGUUUGGCACCUCGAUGUCGGCUCAUCACAUCCUGGGGCUGAAGUAGGUCCCAAGGGUAUGGCUGUUCGCCAUUUAAAGUGGUACGCGAGCUGGGUUUAGAACGUCGUGAGACAGUUCGGUCCCUAUCUGCCGUGGGCGCUGGAAGAUUGAGGGGGGCUGCUCCUAGUACGAGAGGACCGGAGUGGACGCAUCACUGGUGUUCGGGUUGUCAUGCCAAUGGCACUGCCCGGUAGCUACAUGCGGAAGAGAUAAGUGCUGAAAGCAUCUAAGCACGAAACUUGCCCCGAGAUGAAUCUUCCCUGAGCCUUUAAGGCUCCUGAAGGAACGUUGAAGACGACGACGUUGAUAGGCCGGGUGUGUAAGCGCAGCGAUGCGUUGAGCUAACCGGUACUAAUGAACCGUGAGGCUUAACCUUACAACGCCGAAG
rnacentral:rRNA from 1 species